rnacentral:rRNA from 1 species
UCCGUAGGCGGGCAGCUCAGUCAGUGGUGAAAGUUUGCAGCUCAACUGUAAAAUUGCCAUUGAUACUGGUUGUCUUGAAUUGAUGUGAAGUGGUUAGAAUAUGUAGUGUAGCGGUGAAAUGCAUAGAUAUUACAUGGAAUACCAAUUGCGAAGGCAGAUCACUAACAUUAUAUUGACGCUGAUGGACGAAAGCGUGGGGAGCGAACAGGAUUAGAUACCCUGGUAGUCC